GCAAGUCGAGCGGUAGAAAGUAUCUUGCUACUUUUGAGAGCGGCGGACGGGUGAGUAACGCGUAGGAAUCUACCAAUUUGUGGGGGAUAGCCAGGGGAAACCCUGAUUAAUACCGCAUACUCCCUAAGGGGGAAAGCGGGGGCUCUUCGGACCUAGCGCAAAUUGAUGAGCCUGCGUAGGAUUAGCUAGUUGGUGAGGUAAAGGCUCACCAAGGCGACGAUGCUUAGCUGGUCUGAGAGGAUGAUC
rnacentral:rRNA from 1 species